rnacentral:rRNA from 1 species
AGUGAACGCUGGCGGUAGGCCUAACACAUGCAAGUCGAGCGGCAGCACAGUAAGAGCUUGCUCUUACAGGUGGCGAGUGGCGGACGGGUGAGGAAUACAUCGGAAUCUACUUUUUCGUGGGGGAUAACGUAGGGAAACUUACGCUAAUACCGCAUACGACCUACGGGUGAAAGCAGGGGAUCUUCGGACCUUGCGCGAUUGAAUGAGCCGAUGUCGGAUUAGCUAGUUGGCGGGGUAAAGGCCCACCAAGGCGACGAUCCGUAGCUGGUCUGAGAGGAUGAUCAGCCACACUGGAACUGAGACACGGUCCAGACUCCUACGGGAGGAAGCAGUGGGGAAUAUUGGACAAUGGGCGCAAGCCUGAUCCAGCCAUACCGCGUGGGUGAAGAAGGCCUUCGGGUUGUAAAGCCCUUUUGUUGGGAAAGAAAAGCAGCAGGUUAAUACCCCGCUGUUCUGACGGUACCCAAAGAAUAAGCGCCGGCUAACUUCGUG